rnacentral:tRNA from 1 species
CAAAGGAUAGUUUAUGAAAAUAUUAAUUUUGGAAAUUAAUGAAAGGAGCUAUUAUCUUUCCUUUGA